CUUUUAUCGGAGGGUUGAUGCCAAUGCUCUGGGCUUAUGCUCGGUUCACUGGCUCAUCUCUUUCUGAUUCUACCCAUGUUUUUUGCGUACUACUUGUUUCCUUGGUAGGCUUGCCUACCAAUAGGACAUAUUAAAACCUUUUGUAAUUGCAGUCAGCGUCAGUAACAAUGUAAUAAUUACAACUUUCAACAACGGAUCUCUUGGUUCU
rnacentral:misc_RNA from 1 species